rnacentral:rRNA from 1 species
UGGUAGUCCACGCCGUAAACGAUGUCGACUUGGAGGUUGUUCCCUUGAGGAGUGGCUUCCGGAGCUAACGCGUUAAGUCGACCGCCUGGGGAGUACGGCCGCAAGGUUAAAACUCAAAUGAAUUGACGGGGGCCCGCACAAGCGGUGGAGCAUGUGGUUUAAUUCGAUGCAACGCGAAGAACCUUACCUACUCUUGACAUCCAGAGAACUUAGCAGAGAUGCUUUGGUGCCUUCGGGAACUCUGAGACAGGUGCUGCAUGGCUGUCGUCAGCUCGUGUUGUGAAAUGUUGGGUUAAGUCCCGCAACGAGCGCAACCCUUAUCCUUUGUUGCCAGCGGUUAGGCCGGGAACUCAAAGGAGACUGCCAGUGAUAAACUGGAGGAAGGUGGGGAUGACGUCAAGUCAUCAUGGCCCUUACGAGUAGGGCUACACACGUGCUACAAUGGCGCAUACGAAGAGAAGCGACCUCGCGAGAGCAAGCGGACCUCAUAAAGUGCGUCGUAGUCCGGAUUGGGGUCUGCAACUCGACUCCAUGAAGUCGGAAUCGCUAGUAAUCGUAGAUCAGAAUGCUACGGUGAAUACGUUCCCGGGCCUUGUACACACCGCCCGUCACACCAUGGGGAGUGGGUUGCAAAAGAAGUAGGUAGCUUAACCUUCGGGAGGGCGCUUACCACUUUGUGAUUCAUGACUGG